GGUAUUUUGACCGUGCAAAGGUAGCAUAAUCAUUAGUUUUUUAAUUGAAAGCUGGAAUGAAAGGUUGGAUGAAAAAUAAGCUGUCUCUAUUUAAAUUUAUUAGAACUUUAUUUUUAAGUUAAAAAGCUUAAAUUUUAAUAGAAGACGAGAAGACCCUAUAGAGUUUUAUUUAUUUAAUAAAUAAAAAUAAUAGUAUUAAUAAUUUUUAUUUUUUAAAUAAAUUUAGUUGGGGUGAUUGAAAAAUUUAAUUAACUUUUUUUAUAUGUAUACAUUAAUUUAUGAUUGUUUGAUCCUUAGUUUAAGAUUAAAAGAUAAAAUUACCUUAGGGAUAACAGCGUAAUUUUUUUUGAGAGUUCUAAUCGAAAGAAAAGAUUGCGACCUCGAUGUUGGAUUAAAAUAAAAUUUUGGUGUAGAAGCUAAAA
rnacentral:rRNA from 1 species